rnacentral:rRNA from 1 species
GAGGAGGAGGCUCCUUUAGUUAAUACCUAAAGUGAGUGGACGUUACUCGCAGAAUAAGCACCGGCUAACUCUGUGCCAGCAGCCGCGGUAAUACAGAGGGUGCGAGCGUUAAUCGGAUUUACUGGGCGUAAAGCGUGCGUAGGCGGCUUUUUAAGUCGGAUGUGAAAUCCCUGAGCUUAACUUAGGAAUUGCAUUCGAUACUGGAAAGCUAGAGUAUGGGAGAGGAUGAUAGAAUUCCAGGUGUAGCGGUGAAAUGCGUAGAGAUCUGGAGGAAUACCGAUGGCGAAGGCAGCCAUCUGGCCUAAUACUGACGCUGAGGUACGAAAGCAUGGGGAGCAAACAGGAUUAGAUACCCUGGUAGUCCAUGCCGUAAACGAUGUCUACUAGCCGUUGGGGCCUUUGAGGCUUUAGUGGCGCAGCUAACGCGAUAAGUAGACCGCCUGGGGAGUACGGUCGCAAGACUAAAACUCAAAUGAAUUGACGGGGGCCCGCACAAGCGGUGGAGCAUGUGGUUUAAUUCGAUGCAACGCGAAGAACCUUACCUGGCCUUGACAUACUAAGAACUUUCCAGAGAUGGAUUGGUGCCUUCGGGAACUUAGAUACAGGUGCUGCAUGGCUGUCGUCAGCUCGUGUCGUGAGAUGUUGGGUUAAGUCCCGCAACGAGCGCAACCCUUUUCCUUAUUUGCCAGCGGGUAAUGCCGGGAACUUUAAGGAUACUGCCAGUGACAAACUGGAGGAAGGCGGGGACGACGUCAAGUCAUCAUGGCCCUUACGGCCAGGGCUACACACGUGCUACAAUGGUCGGUACAAAGGGUUGCUACCUCGCGAGAGGAUGCUAAUCUCAAAAAGCCGAUCGUAGUCCGGAUCGCAGUCUGCAACUCGACUGCGUGAAGUCGGAAUCGCUAGUAAUCGCGGAUCAGAAUGCCGCGGUGAAUACGUUCCCGGGCCUUGUACACACCGCCCGUCACACCAUGGGAGUUUGUUGCACCAGAAGUAGGUAGUCUAACCGCAAGGAGGACGCUUACCACGGUGUGGCCGAUGACUGGGGUGAAGUCGUAACAAGGUAGCCGUAGGGGAACCUGCGGCUGGAUCACCU